ensembl:lncRNA
AACACUGUAUAGACAGGCCACAUGUUGUUCGGAUGUUUCUGGGUCAGUGAGACUUUGGCUUGUUUUACUUCUAGUUGAAAAGUGAGCAGGGUAGUGGCUCACCCGAGAGCCAGAAGCAAAUAGAUCUCUGAGUUCAACACCAGCCUGGUUUGCAGAGCAAGUCCAGGACAGCCAGGCUCUCACGGAGAAACUGUCUUGAAAAACAAACAAACAAAACCCCAAAACAACAACCAAAAGGAAAAAAAAAUCAUACUUGGCCAGGAAGCGGGAGCUAGAGGUGGAGCGGCCUUUGCUAAUCACGCCUCUCUGUACCUUGGCUUCCGUUUCCAUCUCCAGGGAUGCUGGACAGGAGUGGUCCGUGAGGGUGGCUCUGCAUGUGCACUGUCAUCCUGAUGGAGUAUGACAGGUUUUUAUGUCACAGGUAUGAAGGUUGGCAGGUCUCAUCAGAGCAUUCUGAAGGGUCUCACCUGCCAUGUGGACCUAUGAAGGUUCCUUCCCAUCCUGAUCAUCCGGAGCAAGGCUCGGAAGGAGGCAGGCAUCUUGGUUCUCAGUGGCCUGAGUUUUUACUGACUCCCGGCAGGUGAUGGUAGGGAACACAGGGGACACAUGUUCCCUGGGUCCUUGUCCGCUGGUGCUCAGGAAAGGUAGCCAAGAGAAUGACCUGACAUCACUAGCCCGGGGGAACCGAGUGGGAGCAGGAAGUCGGUGUGGAAUUCACAUAGUCACACUUGCUUUCAUUGCCCUAAUCAACUAUCCAGGCGCCUGAGGAACAAGCAACUUGGGAAGUCCAUUACCAGUGGCCAGUGAGGCCAGUUGUGUUUCCCAUUCACGAUUAAGGAUAUUAAUGAUUAACCCAGACCACGAAGAAUGGCUGGUUGUAUUCUUCUACUGGAGAAUUUCAAGGCCGUUUAUAGGUUUGCCAUAGCAUAGUCAUGCUAGGACCUCAUGUUAAGAGAUCACACAGAAGAGGAAAGGGAGGGCAGCUCUGUCCAAGGUCACACAGAUGGAGUGGCGGGUUGAGACUGAGGGAGGAGGCACCCAAGAGAGAGGGGCAAGUGGCCCCUUUCUUUAGUCCUAGCUUAAAUUCCUAUUUAUUUUCCUGGUUUUAAAAACUUUCAGGGGCUGGGG